rnacentral:rRNA from 1 species
UCGGGAAUUUUGGGCAAUGGGCGAAAGCCUGACCCAGCAACGCCGCGUGAAGGAUGAAGUAUUUCGGUAUGUAAACUUCGAAAGAAUAGGAAGAAUAAAUGACGGUACUAUUUAUAAGGUCCGGCUAACUACGUGCCAGCAGCCGCGGUAAUACGUAGGGACCAAGCGUUGUUCGGAUUUACUGGGCGUAAAGGGCGCGUAGGCGGCAUGACAAGUCACUUGUGAAAUCUCUGGGCUUAACCCAGAACGGCCAAGUGAUACUGUCGCGCUAGAGUGCAGAAGGGGCAAUCGGAAUUCUUGGUGUAGCGGUGAAAUGCGUAGAUAUCAAGAGGAACACCUGAGGCGAAGGCGGCCACCUGGUUGGAUACUGACGCUGAGACGCGAAAGCGUGGGGAGCAAACAGGAUUAGAUACCCACGUAGUCCCUGAGCGGGCUGGCAAGGCGCAU